UACGAAGGGGCUAGCGUUGCUCGGAAUUACUGGGCGUAAAGCGCACGUAGGCGGUCUUUUAAGUCGGGGGUGAAAUCCUGGAGCUCAACUCCAGAACUGCCUUCGAUACUGGAAGACUCGAGUCCGGGAGAGGUGAGUGGAACUGCGAGUGUAGAGGUGAAAUUCGUAGAUAUUCGCAAGAACACCAGUGGCGAAGGCGGCUCACUGGCCCGGUACUGACGCUGAGG
rnacentral:rRNA from 1 species